UCCCCGCUCGCUGCGGGGAGCGCCCUGCCCGUGCGGGCCGCGGGGUGCGGGCCGCAUCCGGGGCGCUGUGGCGUUCCCGUGUGGGAAGCGGCCUUGUGCUGACCGGGACCGGGUGGCCGGGGCGCUGCUGCCGUGGCUCGGGGCCGUUGAGCCCGGCUGCAGGGGGUUGGCUGUCGUUGGGGUUGCACUGAGAGCAGAGCUAACCCAGUGCUGCAGAGCUGAUCCAAAGGACGUUAUUGUUUGUGGAAAAGCUCCCAGGAACUUCACUACAGCCUGGACCUGUUCUUUAAGACCUGCCUGCUGCAAACCAGCUUGUGCUUACGUUUGUAGUGGUUGAAAGCUGAUCGUGGUGACAUCUCUGGGGACAGUUUCCCACGUGAAUUGUUUUGCCUGCUCAUCCUGCUGCAUAAUGAACAUGACAAUUUGGGAUGAAACUCUCUUACGCCCACCCUGGGUGAGAUAAGGCAGGGUAAGGUGUAAUUGGAGGCUCCUUUUGGGUUGCAGUUUUGAUGCACCCUCCAUCAUUGUGUUCCUGUCAGUGGAUUUGCAGUGAGGUUCAAACUCCAGCAUGGAACUUAUGCAAGUUCACUGUGAGGUGAGCACUCUUCUAGCUAGGAGAAUUUUUUGCUUUCACAGAGUUUCUGCUCUCUGGA